UGAUAUUAUUUUUUAUAUAAUCGUAGGUAAUUGCUUCUAGAAUAUACUUUAAUAUUUAAAACGAGUUUAAAGAGGCCGAAGGGACUUCGUUCCAUUUUAAUCCCCUUUAAGAGACCCAUUUUGGCCCUAGACAGAAAGGGAGCACUCUUUGCACCUACUCUUUGCUGUCAGAGUGCGGACUAGCCUCCAUUUUCUCUACUCUAAAAGCCUUCUCGUAACAAAAAGCUACAACCUGAAAAUAUUUCAAGCAAUCCUACUUGAACCUUACAUUGGAACUAAUACUUAGAAAACCAGUAAAUCCUUCGUUUUCUAUCAUAUACCCUUCCCUUAUGAUUAUCGUUUAAGACUGAUCUCUCUUUUUUCACAAGUCCAAUAUAAAAUCUGAAUAAAACUCUACGAUACUUUUUUGGUCCACCGUCAUUCGAUAUUUCUUAGAAGAGUUUUACGAAGAAUGCUCCCAUAGCUGACAGUCUUUUUCUCACGUUUUCCGCUUGAGAAGCUACGGUCAUUCAGCCGCGACUCGUUUCGUCGUUUAAUCCUACAUGCACUUGACUCGAGAGACCGCGUGCAACCUGUGCCCUAUAUUCGCAUGGGGGUAACCGAACCCCAGAAACACCCUCAAGGAUCCAGCGAGGGCUACAACGUUUAAAAUAAAUUUCAAUUCAGAGCCAGAAGGGGUGUGUAUCACUUUCACUAGACCUCUGUCGUGUUUAACGAGCUAUUGAUAUCUUCCACCCACCAAAACUCCCCUCUGUACAGUGGUAAGGAUAUAUACGUAUGUAAGCUACGUGCUCUAGUCGUUAGCGGCCCCUUUCCUGGCCCCCUUUUUUUGACCAGGAAAACCGCCACAUGUGUGUGAUAUGUGUUAAAGCCCAGGCGAGAUCUACAGUGAUUCCAUUCUAAAGUCUUGCCCUAUGGGAAAGUUCAGGUGCUCCAGUGGUUGUGGUUAAACCAGAAAAUUAGGUUCACGGUGAACUACCGAUGUAGGGCGAUCGAUUGUGGGAAGUUUUGCAAGAAGCUUGACCAGUCUUCCCUUAUGGGACAAACUGUAUCGAGUGUUACGCCUGAUGGAAUUGCAUUCAGUGAAAUUUUAUGGUGUAUAGAGAAGCAAGUAUUUUUAGCAUAUUUAUUCGAAGGUAGCCUGAAUACGGGUAAUAUUUCUUUCAUUCUUUACGGUAUCCGGGCCAGUUUCCUGUCACCUUCUUUUUAAAAAAUCAUAGCGAGGAGAUGAGACGAUUAAUUCCAGACAUUUUUCUUGAGAACAGUGCAGUUUCCUGCACGAACAUCAUCGACUAUAGAAAUCCAAGGCGACAAAGCACAGGAAUUCUUUGAAAGGACAAAACAGUUCGAGCCUCAGAUUUCUAUCCUCCUCGUCGUGAAUGGGAAACAUGUGAAAAAGGAGCCAGGAAGUGCGUAUACCCACGAGGAUCCAUUGCGACAUAAUAAACGCUGCUGACCGCGUUUUUCUUGCUUUUAUCCUCUACGUUCGUUCAUCUUUAACGCAAUAUUAGAAUCCAUUCAUUGAGAAAAACUUCUAUCAAUUAGAAAACUCUAUACUCUAAAUUAUUCCUUUAUAAACAGAUUCAGUUAUGUAUAAUUAGAAAGCCACAAGUGUAAGAACACCAAAGAUAAUUGACAAUGGAGAAAAUUUCACGUGCCUAUAUACAACCGGUUCACUAGGGCGAUUAUAAUACCCUGGCAGAUUCAUGGCGGCGAUAUCUAACAAUAAGUUCUAAAAGAAUCUUAUUGACCUGUUAAGACACGAGAGAGAAAGAAACCGUGGCAGCUGGCCUGGAAGAUCGUUGCGGAUCCUCCUCCUUUAUAGAAUCCUAUAUAAAUCGUGGACCGUGCCUUUCUACGGGGAAACACGUGCCAGCCACAUGUUGCAUAAAAGGAAUCGUCAGUGGUCCUUUCGAAUAUCCAUAGCGUAAAGUCGCAAUCACAAAGGAGCUUUAGGACCUAUAAAUGAUUCUCUUUCGACCGAAGGAUACGAAACAGCGGCAGAUGUUUUCCUUCUUUAUCUCUUCAAACAUGUCGAAUUCGGUAUGUACAGGCGUUUCUUAAGGAUAUGAGAUAACAGUAGUUGUUUCGUCUUCUUUGGAAAAGCUUAGUUAGUCGUUAAAAAGCUUUCGAUAUUUAUAGUAUCGUCAUUUUGAUAAAAAAAAAAUUGUUUGUACCAAGAUAUUAUUUAGAAUAUUUUCAAGUACAAAAUUUGUAACUCUAAUUAAGCUUGUAUAAUUUUUAAUUCGGAUUUCGUAUGAAUUUGCAAUGUGAGUUGUAUUAACAUUCUGCAAAAUCUAAAUUUUAUCGUAUUUGCAAUAAAGGUUAUAUUGUAAAGUGUUUGAAGAAAUAGUUUUUAAAUAAUCUUUUUAGUUGGGAAAGAAAUCACGAUUGUUCACGCACUCACGUUAAGAAAUGGAUUUCAUGUAGGGCCAACAGGCUGGCUGCGCAUGCAUCUAAUCGCACAACCUACGAUCAUGGAACGGAACGAUUCUUAAGAACGAACACGUGGUUGUGACCAUCUGUUAGCAUCCUGCUUCGUUCAUCCUACCCUAAGUUAGAGCCUUUUCGCCUUGCUAGUUCUUUCCUCCUGCACCUAGAAGAUCGACACAUAAGCAUCAAUCCUUUCAAGGCUAUUUGAUUUCUUAAACUCCAAGGACGAACUGAAAGCUGUUUAAAUUACAUCGUAUAACAGUAAAGUAAUGGACCAUUAACUAGAAGAGAAUUAUAGAAUACAGAAGAAUGAAAAAUGCACAGAAUAGAAUAAAUCAAUAACAUAACGCGAUAAACACGACAACAGAACAGAUGAAAUCCUCAAUCCCGAAAAUUAAUCCUCAUAAAAUACCAAAAGCAAUUUAUAUCGAGUUUCUCACAGAAGUUUAAACACUAAGGAUCUCAGCUUCUUAUCACCUUCACCAACUCUUCAUGAAACCACUACAAGGAACACAAGGCGUAAACUUUCCCAGCAUGCAAUACGCUCAAAUAUUUAGUUUAGGGGGCGACAUCGUUCGCUUUUAGCUGAGAGUCAGAGAUUUUAAGAGGUGCGUGAAAGACCGUCACAUGUUCUCCGCUUUUUUGCUCAUCAUCAGCCGCUCCGAAUUUAUUUUUACUAACGAAGAGGUACGUUCUUGCGUCGCCUACUUGUCACAGGACACCGUCGACGACUGGAAUAACAUUUCCACGGAGGAAUAACCGUCGCAUAUGAGUCAAAGUUGUAAAAGCUAGAAUAUCGCGGAGAUCGUUUAGGCGGGCCGCUUUGUGUCCUCGGUAAAAGGUGUUCCAAGCAGGUAAAACAUUCCUAUUGAAACGGUUCUACCUGACCCACCUGGCUUUCACGCUACAUUUUCGGCUCGACAACAGUUUCUCCCCAUGCAUAUGGAUAUCAAAAAAGGACUAGCUACAUAAAACGCAGAAUCUCCGUUAGCUAGAUCAGAAAUAUAACGCGAACGAUCUGUAGAUAUAUUGAAAACAAAAUUUUCAUUAAUUACA